rnacentral:lncRNA from 1 species
UUGAAUUAGCAGACAUAUGCAGACCUAAGGCUGUAGACUAGAAAGAACCUUUUGCCAGAGUAUCCCUCGGUGAGUAAUCCGGUGUUCACAGAACUUCUCAUCUAUAACUUGGAGAGGGAGCAAUAGAUUGAUCAUCUUCAUACAGGAGUUAGAGUAUCUUCAACCACAACCAUUGGCCCAAGGCUGAAGGUUUCCAAGAACCAUCUGUGUGUACAUCUUAGUAAUUUUCUAGAAGUCACAGAAAGCCACCAGGUUUUCAAUAAGAAUUUGUUUAAAGCAGGGCUGAAAAGAAUUUUAAAAAUUAUGCAACGGGAUGAUCUUAAAUAUUCUCUACCAAGCCAACAAUGUAGGGAUCAACCUGGGCGCAGCCCAGCCUCCUGUCUUGGGCGUUGGUGACUGAGAAUUAUGUCAUUAUCCCGAAGCCCAGGGAUGGAGUCUGGCUGAGUCACCUCCAUUCUCUAGCAGGUCUUUCUCAUUUGUCUUGUCUGACACUGCUCGUCUUUCAUUUGGCUUGCUCACAGGCAGAGUCUGGCACUUAGGAUGGAAUGAAAUAAAUGGAUAUUGAAUGGUUGUGGCGGUUUAAAAAUGCUUCACCCACGGGAAGGGGCAUUGUUUGGAGGUGUGGCCUUGGAGGAAGUAUGUCACUCUGUAGGCAGGAUUUUCAGGGCUCCUGGUGCGCAAGCUCCACCCAGUGCCAAAGAGACCCUCCUCUUGACUGCUAUGGAAGCGAGUCUCCUCCUGGUUACCUUUGAAUCAAGUUGUAGAACUCUCAGCUCCUCCAGCACUAUGUCGGCCUGCAUAUUUCCAUGCUUCCCGCCAUGAUGAUAAUGAACUGAACCUCUGAACCUGUAAGCCAGCCCCACGUAAAUGCUGCCCUUUAUAAGAUUCAUUCGCCUUGGUCAUGGUGUCUGUUCACAGCAAUAGAAACCCUAACUAAGACAGCGGUGAUCAGGUCUCUGCUUGAUUCAUACUUCUAGAUUUUAGUCAACAAACUGGUGGGAAUUCCUUCCUCCCCUCCCCCACCCCCAUGCGCACAAACGAGUGUUGCAUCAGAAAGGGCAAGCGUUCGUCCAAGAACCACCCUGACAUGGAUUCAAAAAUGAGUCAAAGCAUCUGCUCCUCAGAACCAGGAAGUCAAAGUUGACCCAGACUCCGGUUUAUUCCUUUCUCAUCAGGUUUGGGAAUGGGGUGAAGCAUCCCCGGGGUGAUCUUUGGGAAAAAUGCAUCUCCGUUCCCACUUCUGCCUCGGUGGCCACCACCUGGACGCCUGGUGAGAAAUUCUCACUCUAGCAUUUGUCCUCUGGAGCCUGGGGGGACAGGUGUGUAAAAGAGAUCAGCUCAGUCAAACCAUGAGAGACCACGACUGUGGGAACCGAGAUGGUCCAGCGUGGGGCGCGCAGUCCAGCAUGGGUCACUCGCGCUCUGAUGAGAAGCUGCAUCCGAAAAGGACUCUGUUGUCGUUGUGAGACGUGAUGACACACCCGUGCUUCUUUUGGGCGAGGCUGGCCUUCUUCUGAUGCUGUCAAGCCUCUAAGACUCAUGUUCACCCCCGCAUAGCUUUAGAAAGGCUGAGACCCACACUGCUUUAGGGGAAUUAAGGAAAUCUUAGAGAGAAACACUGGCGACAUUGAUCUUGGAUAGUAAAAUAAAGAUCAUCAGUCGAGGUCUUUUCUAAAAGGUCUUUUCUAAACCUGCUGUGCAGACAUCACCGGGGGACUUGCUAAAAUUAUCAGGCACCUGCACCUUCGCUCGAAGAUUUUUGGCUCAGUAGGGAGAGGGUUAAGGUCCAGGAAACUUGGAAAUUAAAUGCCCAGGUUACUCUAGUGUUUGCCAGAGGAAGUUUGGGGAGUCUUGAAUGAAGUGGUGAAUCCCACCACAUUGAGCACUUAUCCAAAGUAAGGUGCCGUGUCGAGAGUAGAGAGAACCCGGGAAAAGCAAGCUUCAGUAACGAUUAGCAUGCGGUGUAGGCCAGUGUCUGACAGCAUUUGUCCAAGGACCGCGAUGGAGGCACAGGCUUAGGUGACGCCUAGAAUGGGAAGGAAGUUGAGAUGUUUUCUAGAAGCUUCUAAUGUGCUAAUUAAUUCCUCAGCGACGCUCCCAGGGGAGGUUUGCUUUGUUGAUUUUUAGACGAUAUUUUCUUUGAACAUCUUGUAGAGAUAUGGGUAGCCUUCAAUCGCUGCCUAAAGCAUCUCUGUUUCGUUGUUAAGCCAAGCCUGGCUUAUUACAUAAAUGGACACAAUUGCUCUCUGUGAAAAGCCGGACACUAUUCAGAAGGAAGAGAGGGACAUGCCCCGCGGUCAGGAGUGGAGUGGCUUUAGCAUCUUUGCCCUUAGUAAUAGAACGUAGUCUCGGAAGUCCAGAAGCUUGGUCAUAAUGCAAGCGAAACAAACCUUCCAGGCUGGUUUUGGUUUUGUCAUUCGUAUGGGUCUACACCCAGGCUCUCUCAGUACCGUCUCUCCAAGCGCGAGCAACAGCAGCUGGAAGGUGGGACAGAUGCAGAUUCUAGGUUUCUACCUAAAAUCUCCUGAGCCAGAACUGUGGAGGAGGGGAAGUGAUCAGAAGUCAAAGUGAUGAAGGAAGGCAGCUAGCCAUGCUUCAGAUUCUUCUGAUGGCCCUCAAGUCUGAGAAAGAGCCUCAAGCCCAAGAGAAACUCUGUCGAUGCAGUAAUACUGAAAAGGACUCUCAGUGAACAAGCCCUAGGUGUCUUGUUAGAGCUGGUUCUGGAAACAGAAAGAUGAACCCAGACUCCGGUGCCAUCUAGUGGUCAUGUUAGUUCCUCUAGAAAUAAACUCCAGUGCAAUCCAGUGCUGGGUUUGAUACCUAGAGGCAAAGAGAACUUCUGAAUCCUGGCCAGCUAUGUCACCAUUUGAAUAUGGAACAUUUGAAUAUGCUCCCUAAGGGAGGGAUAUGCUUGUUGUGUUGAAUGCUUCCUCCUUAAUGCUGGCUUUGGGAGAUUCUGGGAAGAUGAGUCCUGGUUGAAUGAA